rnacentral:rRNA from 1 species
UACGGAGGGUGCAAGCGUUGUCCGGAAUCACUGGGCUUAAAGGGCGCGUAGGCGGCUCAUGAAGGCUGUGGUGAAAGUCCGGGGCUCAACCUCGGAUCGGCCGUGGCGACUCGUGGGCUGGAGCACUGUAGAGGCGGGUGGAAUUCCGGGUGUAGCGGUGGAAUGCGUAGAGAUCCGGAAGAACACCAGUGGCGAAGGCGGCCCGCUGGGCAGUGGCUGACGCUGAGGCGCGACAGCGUGGGGAGCAAACAGG